rnacentral:lncRNA from 1 species
UUUGGAUUGGAGGGGGCAGUAAUAGAUUUCUCCCAAAACUUUCCCUUCUACUGAGCAGGGAUCUAAUCUAUUUCCCAUCAGUUCCCAUUGAAUUGUAAGCCACUUGAGGGCAGGGGCUGUCUUUUAAAAAAUGUGUGUCCCUGGCACCUAGCCCAGUAUCUGACACAUAGUACUUGCAUAACAAAUGUUUAUUAUAUUUAUGUUGUGGAGGAACUUAAGGUGAACCCCAGGUUUGGACAGGACCCUUUGCAAGAAUGCAAGACUCCAAAACUUAGCUUAGAAAUAAAAAGAGAAAUGUAUAAAUUUGGUAUUCAUGCUGAAUUUGGCUGGGAGAACAGUACAGGUGGAACACUCCCUCCUGGAGAGGAUGUGUCCUGGGCUUUUUAUACUUUUUAAACAAUAGGGGCUAUGUGACAAGGGAUAAGGGUGAUGGAAUGAGAUUAGGCACCAGUGAGGGAUGUUUGUCAUCUUAUUCAGGGCUGGAGUGAUGUCUUGUGUCCCAAAGACACAGGAGGUGACCAGGAUACAGCCUGACAGUAUCAGAGCAUAAUUGGGAGAUAUAUAUCUGUGACCAUCUCAUAAUCUAGGGGAGAAUGCAAAGGGAAGAUUUCUCUCAGGGGUCUUUUUUACCAUGAGUCUCUGAAGCCCAGAGUCACCUUUCCCUCAGCACGACAAGAAUGCAAGGAAGGAAAGGAAUUUUCCCAUUUUCUUUUUGUCUUGAAAUACUUCUGGAGUCUGGGGGGUGGGGUCCAAGGGAACCCCAGGGUCCCAUGCCAUUUAUUGUUUAUAUUGUCUAUCAUAGUGUUCAGUGAUGCCGACUUUGUUGUCCACUAUGACUUCAAGAUCUUUUUUCAAGGGAACUGCUAUCUAGCUCUACUUCUGCCAUCUUGUACUUGGGAAGUUGAAUUUUUUGCAAGAUGGCUCCCCUGCUGGAUUCUGGGCUACAUUGAUUUCUCUUCCCUUGAAAGCUGCCAUGACUUCUGAAAAGCCUGGACCAGAGGCAGGGACUGCACUGACUGUGCUGGACUUGGACCCUGACUUCCUGAAGGGCUGAGGAUGCCCCCAUCGCCUGGAUUCUGAGGUGGUGUUUCAUUGAUUCUGUAGGAUAGAUGCUACUAAUCUCUG